AAAUUGAAGAGUUUGAUCAUGGCUCAGAUUGAACGCUGGCGGCAGGCCUAACACAUGCAAGUCGAACGGUAACAGGAAACAGCUUGCUGUUUCGCUGACGAGUGGCGGACGGGUGAGUAAUGUCUGGGAAACUGCCUGAUGGAGGGGGAUAACUACUGGAAACGGUAGCUAAUACCGCAUAAUGUCGCAAGACCAAAGAGGGGGACCUUCGGGCCUCUUGCCAUCGGAUGUGCCCAGAUGGGAUUAGCUAGUAGGUGGGGUAAC
rnacentral:rRNA from 1 species